GUCUCUUUGAGAGAAGUAUAUAAAGAGUCUAGCCUGCCCGGUGACAUAGUUUAACGGCUGCAGUAUCCUGACUGUGCAAAGGUAGCAUAAUAAUUUGCCUUUUAAUUGGAGGAUAGAAUCAACGGCCUAACGAAAGCAAAACUGUCUUUUUUAUUUUUAUUAGAAAUUAUCUUUUAGGUUAAAAGGCCUAAAUGUAACUAAGGGACGAUAAGACCCUAUUGAGCUUCAAAAAAAUAAAAUGAUUGCUUAUUUAUUAAUAAAAUUAACAAUAAUUUUAAUAAUUUUGGUUGGGGCGACUGCGGGGUAUAAAAAACCUCCGUUUUAAAAAAAUAAUUUGUAUUUUUGAUCCAUAAUUUAUGACAAGACGAAUUAGUUACCAUAGGGAUAACAGCGCACCGCUUUUAGGAAGAUCCCAUUUCUAAAAGAGAUUGCGACCUCGAUGUUGGAUUAAGGUAUACUGAAAGGUGCAGGUGCUUUUUAAGUUAGUCUGUUCGACUAUUAAAUCCUU
rnacentral:rRNA from 1 species